AGUGAACGCUGGCGGUAGGCCUAACACAUGCAAGUCGAACGGCAGCACAGUAAGAGCUUGCUCUUACGGGUGGCGAGUGGCGGACGGGUGAGGAAUACAUCGGAAUCUACUUUUUCGUGGGGGAUAACGUAGGGAAACUUACGCUAACACCGCAUACGACCUACGGGUGAAAGCAGGGGAUCUUCGGACCUUGCGCGAUUGAAUGAGCCGAUGUCGGAUUAGCUAGUUGGCGGGGUAAAGGCCCACCAAGGCGACGAUCCGUAGCUGGUCUGAGAGGAUGAUCAGCCACACUGGAACUGAGACACGGUCCAGACUCCUACGGGAGGCAGCAGUGGGGAAUAUUGGACAAUGGGCGCAAGCCUGAUCCAGCCAUACCGCGUGGGUGAAGAAGGCCCUCGGGUUGUAAAGCCCUUUUGUUGGGAAAGAAAAGCAGCAGGUUAAUACCCCGCUGUUCUGACGGUACCCAAAGAAUAGGCACCGGCUAACUUCGUG
rnacentral:rRNA from 1 species